AUUGAACGCUGGCGGCAGGCCUAACACAUGCAAGUCGAGCGGCAGCGGGAAAGUAGCUUGCUACUUUUGCCGGCGAGCGGCGGACGGGUGAGUAAUGCCUGGGAAAUUGCCCAGGCGAGGGGGAUAACAGUUGGAAACGACUGCUAAUACCGCAUACGCCCUACGGGGGAAAGAAGGGGACCUUCGGGCCGUGCGCGCUUGGCUAUGGCCAGGUGGGAUUCGCUAGUUGGUGAGGUAAGGGCUCACCAAGGCGACGAUCCCUAGCUGGUCUGAGAGGAUGAUCAGCCACACUGGAACUGAGACGCGGUCCAGACUCCUACGGGAGGCAGCAGUGGGGAAUAUUGCACAAUGGGGGAAACCCUGAUGCAGCCAUGCCGCGUGUGUGAAGAAGGCCUUCGGGUUGUAAAGCACUUUCAGCGAGGAGGAAAGGUUGAUGCCUAAUACGUAUCAACUGUGACGUUACUCGCAGAAGAAGCACCGGCUAACUCCGUGCCAGCAGCCGCAGUAA
rnacentral:rRNA from 1 species